UAUAUACAUAUAUACCAAAAACAGACUCAAACAAAAAACGAAAUUGAAGAAGCUGCAUAAUUAAAAGGAUCCCAUGGGUACAGGCUAUAAUGUGGGAUUUAAAA